rnacentral:ncRNA from 3 species
CGACUCUCGGCAACGGAUAUCUCG